rnacentral:rRNA from 1 species
GGAAGUAAAAGUCGUAACAAGGUUUCCGUAGGUGAACCUGCGGAAGGAUCAUUGUCGCAUCCUACCACUCGGCGCACUCGCGAACGGUUGACCCUAUCAAACCCCGGAGGGGGCAUGGGUGCGGCUCUGGACGUGUAAAUGUUUGCCUUCCCCUGCUAUCCCCAUCCCUCUCCGGGAUAUAUUUCCYUGCCUCCGACAGCUYCGAUCGGUGGGAGCCUCCCAUCGAUCGGRCYGUCGGCCGGCGGGACGACGAACCUUCCCGGCGCGGUAUGCGCCAAGGAAAACRGACGUGAAGGCCYGCGUGAUCAGUCCCUGUGGCRGAGGCACGCGGCGCUCAUCACCGAUACAAAACGAGUCUGAACGACUCCCGGCAACGGAUAUCUAGGCUCUCGCAUCGAUGAAGAACGUAGCGAAAUGCGAUACGUGGUGUGAAUUGCAGAAUCCCGUGAACCAUCGAAUCUUUGAACGCAAGUUGCGCCCGAGGCCACUAGGUCGAGRGCACGCCUGCCUGGGCGUCACGCCCCGCGUCGCUCCCCGACCCCCCACCCACCCACCCCCCUCACAAGGGGGACGUGWGCGUGCGUGUGRGAGGGAYGAGGGAUGCGGAGAUUGGCCCACCGUGCACCAGUGCGGCGGGCUGAAGAACUCGGCCCUCCCGCCGGGCGACUAACGGCGAGUGGUGGAUGAUGCUCAUCGUCGCCGUGGCGCACGCCCGCGCACAGGGAUGGGACCGAAMGUGAGGAACCCAUUCAUCGGAGAGCACGGCCRUAUCUAAGAUAAGGCCGGUCUUCGACCGCGACCCCAGGUCAGGCGGGAUCACCCGCCGARUUUAAGCAUAUCAAUAAGCGGAGGAGGA